rnacentral:tRNA from 4 species
GCUGGUGUGGCUCAAUUGGUAGAGCACCCGAUUUGUAAUCGGGCGGUUGGGAGUUCGAGUCUCUCCACCAGCACCA